UGGCGACCCCGAUGUGGCUUGAACACACAACCUACUCCUUAGGAGGGAGUCACUCUAUCCAAUUGAGCUACGGGGUC
rnacentral:tRNA from 1 species